rnacentral:rRNA from 1 species
AUUGAACGCUGGCGGCAGGCCUAACACAUGCAAGUCGAACGGUAGCACAGAGAGCUUGCUCUCGGGUGACGAGUGGCGGACGGGUGAGUAAUGUCUGGGAAACUGCCCGAUGGAGGGGGAUAACUACUGGAAACGGUAGCUAAAACCGCAUAACGUCGCAAGACCAAAGUGGGGGACCUUCGGGCCUCACACCAUCGGAUGUGCCCAGAUGGGAUUAGCUAGUAGGUGGGUAAUGGCUCACCUAGGCGACGAUCCCUAGCUGGUCUGAGAGGAUGACCAGCCACACUGGAACUGAGACACGGUCCAGACUCCUACGGGAGGCAGCAGUGGGGAAUAUUGCACAAUGGGCGCAAGCCUGAUGCAGCCAUGCCGCGUGUAUGAAGAAGGCCUUCGGGUUGUAAAGUACUUUCAGCGGGGAGGAAGGCGGUGAAGUUAAUAGCUUCACCGAUUGACGUUACCCGCAGAAGAAGCACCGGCUAACUCCGUGCCAGCCGCCGCAGUAA